rnacentral:tmRNA from 1 species
UCACUUCACAUUAAGCUGCGCUUGCCUAUAUAGGGCUCUGCCGGUCUCGGCCGGCUAUGGCGAUAAAAUGCGGUGUGCAAUAGGCACAGCGGACCCGGGGGCAGUACCCGGCGGCUCCACCACAAAGCUCGGUUCGCCGAGGUUCGUGACGGGGCCGAACCAGGAUCGACGUGUGUUGAAAGGCAUCGUUUUCGCUCGGGCUGAGUAACCCGUUAAAGGCUCAAAAACCCACAAGUGCCAAUGAUAAUGAAGCACUUGCUCUCGCUGCGUAACCUGACGGCCUAACGGCCUGACAUUACAAAGCUAGAGCACGGUUCGGACCGAACCGGGUAACAGAAUCGGAAACC